GGGAUUAGUGGCGGACGGGUGAGUAACGCGUGGGAACAUACCCAAAGGUACGGAAUAGCCUCGGGAAACUGGGAGUAAUACCGUAUGUGCUCGAAAGAGGAAAGAUUUAUCGCCUUUGGAUUGGCCCGCGUUGGAUUAGGUAGUUGGUGGGGUAAUGGCCUACCAAGCCGACGAUCCAUAGCUGGUUUGAGAGGAUGAUCAGCCACACUGGGACUGAGACACGGCCCAGACUCCUACGGGAGGCAGCAGUGGGGAAUCUUAGACAAUGGGGGAAACCCUGAUCUAGCCAUGCCGCGUGAG
rnacentral:rRNA from 1 species